GCUCUAUCUGCAAGGUGAUAAGCGUUUAUCUUAAUAGCUCAGUACGCGUGAUGCCAUGUUAUGUGUUAAUUUCCAAAAUUCAAACAAAUAAAACGACGAAAUUUUUCGUGUAAUUUCACCUCUGUGAUAUACGGUCGUGAUGCUGGUUACAAGGGAACAGGAACAAAAUCAGAUUUGGACAACCAUGCCAAUCAGUUGAAUCCGAACAAUGCUCGUUACCAAGGAGGCAAUAAAUAAGGAAGAGUGGAUGGUUUCUUCUGUAUGCCAGCACUUAACAUAAAGUGAUAAAACAUAAAAAAAUUAAAAAUUUCCAGAAUUACUGUUUAAUACUUCUUGUGACACAAAAUUAUGUACUGUUUCUUUGCCUAGAUCCUUCAAAAGUAAUUCUACUUGUAAGACAAUUGCAGAUGCAAUUAAUUUGUGAUCACAGUUUUAUCUGCUUGUAUUGUGUGCAUGACAAAGGUGGUUGACAACGUGAAGUUUCUGCUAUAUAUGACUGAUGAAAAUGCUCAGGUGGUAGACAACAUCUGAAGUUUCUGCUAUAUAUGACUGAAGAAACUGAUCUGAUUGUUCCUUGAGAGCAUUCACCAAUGUACUUAUACUGACAAGUGUAGGCAUUCUUGAACAUGCACUUAUUAGGAAAGUGUGAUCAAUGAAGUUUUCUUAUUUCUGUACAUUGAAAUCAGUAAUAGCAUAUUGUACAGCUUCUUAGAAAUGUAAAGUGCAUGGCAGAAGUACGCCUUGUUCCAAUAUUGGGCAUGCAGGGACCUGUGUAUACUCUUUAUUUCAGAAUGUAGCUGUGUGUGGCACCAACAGUUUGUUUAGUCUUACAGAGGUAUGCAAUUUAAGGUACCUUCACACCGAAAACCAAAGUUCUCCAACAAACUAAAAUGUACAACAGUUCUGAGUUUGGUAAACUUACAACUGUUGAAAAAUAUUGACAACAGUUUCAGUCUCUACAUGUUUGGUGUUUUAACUUUUUUGCUACAGAAAAGCAAUGUAAAUGGAUUCUGACUGAAGAUUUCCCAUUUGUUAUGGUGGAAGAUGGUGCUUUUGCUCUUUCAGAGUACAUGAUGAAACAGUACACAGGAUGGCAAGAGGAAGGCAGCCAAGGAGGAACGUUUAAUCACCAAAUAUUUCACGCUAGAAGAAUUGUGGAGAAUUUUUUGGAAUAUUGUAAACAAUUUUUCGGUGUCUUAGAACAACUACACAUGUAAUUCCUGAAAAAGCAAUAUUAUUAACUUUUGUAACUGUGUCAGUUGUACAGUUUUCUUGGAAGAAAUAAAGUUAACUCCUCACCUGGCAAAAAUGUGGAAGAUCCAGAAACAGGCAGGGCUUCGGAUGUCAGUUGGAGGAUAUCUCCGCAAAGUAAAUGUCUACAGAGAAAGGGAGGCAACGCAGGAAGAACCACAAAGAAUAUAUGGGAUGAAUUUGCAAUCUACUUUGUAUCAGAUGUUGGUAAAAUGAAAUGGCAAGUGGAAUAAAUAUCGAGUGAAAAGACAAAUGUAAUUAAAAACUAAUGAACAAAACCCUUAUAGCUUUAGUUAUUAACAAUGUAAUCCAUUAAUAUGCAAAUUACUUUGUAUCAAAUUUUGACAAAAUGAUAUGACAAGAGAAAUCGAUAAAUUUUCGUGAAAAUACA